UUCUGUGAUGAUAUUAUUAUUUUUUCGUUUGCUGACUUUAAAUUCGAAUCACUCGCGAAUCUCGAUUAUUUGAAAAUUUGAACGAAAAAUACAGAUUACAGAACAGUCGUACAGAGUUCUAUUCAUACAUUUUAGUACAAAAUCACCAUGGAUAAGUGUAUUCCUUUUACUAAAACAUCCAAUGUAUCGCCUCGCCACAUUACGUUAAUUUUCAUUUAUUUUAAAAAAAUCAAUGAAAUAGAAAAAAAUAAUGACUAAAAAGCUUUGAAUUAAAUGAUUAUCCCAAUUUCUAUCUGGCAUAAAAUCUGCGGUAAUCAUUUCACAAUUAGUGAUUGUAAAACAUUGCUCAGUAAAUUAGUAAACAUGGUCAGAGGUGUCAAAAACAUAAUCCAAACCACUUGUCCGGGAUAGAGAAUUAAAAUAAAUUUUAGUAAUUUACGGCAACAUUGGUACUACUCUGAGCACGACUAGAAAUCGCAUCUAAGAGAAAACUUUGUUUCUCCAACAAUCAGUUAGCAGAAAAUGAACAGACGAAUUAAGCAUUUGGAGACGUUACAGUUGAAGAUUUUAAUUCGCCCAGAAAAGCCUUCAAUACUUAAUAAUAUCUAAUUCACACACACUUAUUUCAUACAAUGGAUUAUACUUAUUAUUGUUUUCAAAACUGAAAUAUAUGAUGUACCACAUACAAGGAACUAGGAAGUGGAGCCAAUGUAUUGAACAUUUUUCAGAUGUUGACUUUCUUGAAGAUAAUUUGAACGACUCAGAUGAAGCCAUACAAUAUUGAAGCGAAUUAUAAGAUUUAAAAGUAAUACAAUUUUGCUGAACAAAAAUACAAUUUUAAUAAUGCAGAGGGCCUCAACAUAUUUAAAUUGCAAAGAAACACGUAACUAGUUUGGACAUUGGUAUCUUUUCUGAAGGGAAAGUGCAUCUAGUUGGAUGCGUUGAACAGGUCGUUAAACUCGUUCCCAUUUACAACGAGGAAAGACAAACAUCUUUGCAAAAAGAGUAUGCAAUUACCAAAAAGCUUAAGUGGCUGUUAUUAAAAUUCUUCAACUAUCAAAAAUGGACAUAAUUGAUGAAGACUUUUAAAUUAGGUAUAUUCUGAUAGGUAUCUAUUUCCUUUAAUUUGUAAUUAUUUUUCCUAUGUUUCCCCCCACCACCCAUCAGAAAGUAAUUAGUUACUUUAUUUUACCAAAAAAAACUAUACCUAUGCACUCUGGAGUUAUGUUUGCGAAUAAAUUUUAUUAUCAAUGACUAAUUUAAGAAAACUUUAUUUUUAAAUUUUAUAAUAAAAAAGAAAAGUAGGUAUUUAAAGUCAUUAUAAAUUAUAAUAUCAUAAUGUUCAUAUUUGUUGUAUUGAUAGUGUAUAUGUAUUUUAAAAUUUAGAAAUAUAUGACUAAUGUAGUAAUGUGUUGUAAAUUAUUGUUAUACUUGUAGCAAUUUUUUGUACAUACUAUUAUACUAAAUAAGGAAUUAUUACUAAGUUAGAAAAAAUUAAUCAUAAUAUAAUAUAAGAUAUAGCUGUAUAAAACAAUUAAAACAUU